AAUAUUGGCGUACGUACACCCUGGGGAUCCAGGGUGGUAUACCGCAUCGGAGGAAUGGUUCGUGGAGGAGGUGGUGUUUUGAUACCGUUUUGUUAAAGGAAAAAUUUGCUGUGGCCGAUCAUCACCCAGUAAAGGAUUGGUUGAUAAAACUAAGUUGUCUGAGUUUUUAUUUGGUUUAAAUUGGUGGGAUCCGG